UACGGAGGAUGCGAGCGUUAUCCGGAUUUAUUGGGUUUAAAGGGUGCGUAGGCGGACUGUCAAGUCAGCGGUAAAAUACGGGGGCUCAACCUCCGCCCGCCGUUGAAACUGACGGUCUUGAGUGGGCGAGAAGUAUGCGGAAUGCGUGGUGUAGCGGUGAAAUGCAUAGAUAUCACGCAGAACUCCGAUUGCGAAGGCAGCAUACCGGCGCCCAACUGACGCUGAAGCACGAAAGCGUGGGUGUCGAACAGG
rnacentral:rRNA from 1 species